rnacentral:rRNA from 1 species
GACAGCAGUAGCCGCGGUAAAACGUAGGUGGCAAGCGUUGUCCGGAAUUAUUGGGCGUAAAGGGCUCGCAGGCGGUUUCUUAAGUCUGAUGUGAAAGCCCCCGGCUCAACCGGGGAGGGUCAUUGGAAACUGGGAAACUUGAGUGCAGAAGAGGAGAGUGGAAUUCCACGUGUAGCGGUGAAAUGCGUAGAGAUUAGGAGGAACACCAGUGGCGAAGGCGGCUUUUUGGCCUGUAACUGACACUGAGGCGCGAAAGCGUGGGGAGCAAACAGGAUUAGAUACCCCAGUAGUCCCUGUCUCUUAUAC